rnacentral:lncRNA from 1 species
AGCUAGUUAAUCCUCCCUUCCUUGCCACAGUGCCUGGUGCAAACCUCUUUUCUUUAUAAAUUACCAGAUUCAUGUUUUUUUUUUUUUCUAGUAACACAAAUAGACUAACUCAGAACAUUGGUAUUGAGGAGUGGAACAUUGCUAUAAGGAUACCUGAAAAUGUGGAAGCAGCUUUGGAAUCAGGGAUCUGUGGAAGUUUGACCUUAAGAGUGAUGACUUAGGGCAUCUGUGGAAGACAUUUCUAAGCAGAUGUUUCUAAGGUGUGACCUGGUUGCUUCUAACAGUCUAUGGCAACUCCGACGGCAUUUUCCAGCCACCGCAGCCACCGCAGCCACUGCAGUAACAAGACCCUGUCCUUGACUGAGUUCCAGCCAGGCUCCUCGGAGCCUCUCCACUCGGCCUCAACCUUGGCUUGUAAAGACUUGAGCAGACACUAACAGUUUCUAACAGCUUCUGGCCGUACCCCUAGGCCGACCCCUGCCCCGUCAACACCUGCCUGAGAAAGCUCCGUGCACCAGAACUCACCGUUUGGACCAACCCCGACCUCCCUUUCUCAGGGUGUCUGCUGAGAGGGCCGCAACCACACGUCCUUCUAUCCGUUCCCGAUGUCUGUGCAUUUCCUGUGACCCAGGAGGGUCUUUCUCAAGACUUGAG